rnacentral:lncRNA from 1 species
AAGUUACUUCCGGAAGGGAGACAACUCGAAACGAUAAUAUGGAAGACUCCAUUUCGCCUGAAGGGGUGUUCUACGAUAAGGACUACAUUUAUUUUAAUUAAAAUGAUGCAUAUGAUUUAAAAUUAUGCAACAACAAUAACCCUCAAUAGCAGACAUACAUAGAAAAGAUCCCAUGAGUUAUAAAUUAAUUAAUUGAGUGGGG